rnacentral:rRNA from 1 species
UUCCGGUUGAUCCCGCCGGAGGCGACCGCUUUGGGAGUUCGAUUAUGCCAUGCGAGUCGUGAGUCUUAGGGACUCGGCAUACUGCUCAGUAACACGUGGAUAACCUGCCCUAUCGUCUGGAAUAACCACGGGAAACUGAGAAUAAGGCCGGAUAGUUCACAAUGCCUGGAACGGUUUGUGAAUCAAGGUAGGAUGGGUCUGCGGCGUAUCAGGUUGUAGGGGGUGUAAAGGACCCCCUAGCCUUCGACGCGUACGGGUGUUGGGAGACAUAGCCCGGAGAUGGAUUCUGAGACACGAAUCCAGACCCUACGGGGUGCAGCAGGCGCGAAAACUUCACACUGCAGGAAACUGUGAUGGGGGGACUCCUAGUGCAUGCACUAUGUGUAUGCAGAUCCUACUCUUAACAAGUAGAGGGAAAGGGCUGGGAAAGACCGGUGCCAGCCGCCGCGGUAAUACCGGCAGCUCAAGUGGUCGUCGCUUUUAUUGGGCCUAAAACGUCCGUAGCCUGUUUGGUAAAUCUGUGGGUAAAUCAAUCCGCUCAACGGAUUGAAUUCUGCAGAGACUGCCAGACUAGGGACCGGGAGAGGUGUGGGGUACUCGAGGGGUAGGGGUAAAAUCCUGUCAUCCUUCGAGGACUACCAGUUGCGAAGGCGCCACACUGGAACGGAUCCGACGGUCAGGGACGAAGCCUAGGGGCACGAACCGGAUUAGAUACCCGGGUAGUCCUAGGUGUAAACGCUGUGAACUUGGUGUCGGGGGCCCGCAAGGGGUCCCCGGUGCCGGAGUGAAGAUGUUAAGUUCACUGCCUGGGGAGUACGGUCGCAAGGCUGAAACUUAAAGGAAUUGGCGGGGCAGCAC